rnacentral:rRNA from 1 species
CGGUCCUACGGGGCGCAGCAGUGGGGAAUAUUGCACAAUGGGGGAAACCCUGAUGCAGCAACGCCGCGUGAGUGAAGAAGGUUUUCGGAUUGUAAAGCUCUGUUAGCAGGGAAGAGGAAGGACGGUACCUGCAGAGGAAGCCACGGCUAACUACGUGCCAGCAGCCGCGGUAAUACGUAGGUGGCAAGCGUUGUUCGGAAUAACUGGGCGUAAAGGAUGCGUAGGCGGGUUAACAAGUUAUAUUUUAAAUAUAUCGGCUUAACCUGUCGAAAGCAUAUAAAACUGUUUAAC